GUCAGAGGGGAAGAAAGCUUAGUGUCGGAAUAACAAGAGGAGUUAAAGCCUCGGCGAAUGGGCGGAACCGGUGCCCCUUCGCCCCGCCCCGCGGCGGAUUUUUUUUUUUUUUUUUAAUUCGUCUAUGCGCUUGCGCAACUGCUCCCUUUGGGAACCUGGCGGGCAAGGUUUGUUCCCCCCGACCCACCUAACCGAGGACGCGGAGACUUCCAAUAGUGUCUCUUAUUAUUCAGUGAUAAGAAAAGCAGAUGCCCACAGAGGACCAUCAUGGCUCUUCCUUGAACUUCAUGGCUCUUCCUAGAACCCUCAAUUCACCUUUCCAGAUGCUAUUUGGAGAAUGGUGCUUGGAUGAUCUCCUGAUGGCUCACAGCCUUGAUUUGCAUGUUUGAUCAGCUCUUGUCCCUGAGCUGCCAACCCUAAGACUUUGGACAGAUUAUUUUACUUUACUCAGCUGGGAAAAAGUGGACUCAAGAACAGACUUCGAGGAAGAUGGUGGAGUACUGAAUAGCACUCCAAGAUUUGGUGUCCAGCUGCUGGAAUAUAACAACAUGAAGAAGUGAAGAAGAAAAGUGGGUCACCAGGACCCAGCAAAGAUCUGAAGAACCCACCAGCAGUUUGGAUCCCAGUUAACUUAACUGAGGAAUGGAAAGGGCAGCGACCCCCCUCUUCGAUUUGCUGCUCCACCCCUGCUGCCGUAAACGUGAUUUAGUCAUUUCAGCCAUUGUUGCCAUCAUAACAUCCACUGUUGCUUCAGUAUCUGAGGCCUCCAGAGCUGCAGUUACGCUCCGCAAUCAAGUUGCCACCACUACAGUUGUUAAUAAUUUGGCUCACAAUACCUCCCUGGCUCUCAGACAGUCAGCAACACAUCUUCUUGAUGUCCGAACAGCCGUGCUUUCCUUACAGACUCAGAAGGAUAUGGUAUGGGAAGAAUUACAAUUGUUACAAAGAUUUUUAGUAGGUGUCAUGUCAACUUCCCAGACAUUUGUGUAACUCCAUACCCCUGUAAAAAUUGUAAUCAUUAUAAAAACUUGUCACAAUAUAUAUGGAAGACUUGGGAUCCCUUGUUCAAACAACAUCUCUUAGAAUUAACCCAUACUAUUGUUCAAAUUGAUACUCAGGCAUUAGAUGUUAUCUCAAUGGAUAAUAUUUGGAAAACCCUGUGGGAUGGUAUUUUGGCUGGAUGGACACAAAUAAGUGUUUGGGUGAGAGGCUGAUUCUUUCUUUGCCCUAUGUCUUGACAGUCUUGGGAAUAAUUUUGUUAUUGUUUGUUUUAAAAAUUAAACAUCUGGCUCAAAGAAGAUAUGGCCAGACUCACAAAAAUGUGGUCAUCUUGGCCAAGGCUCUGGAGUCAAAGACAAAAGGGGGAACUAUGGGAGAAGUUCAAGCCUGGCUGGACCAGGUGUGCAGCACUCCUGACUUCUGAGCAAACUCAAAGACCUCUCUGAGGCUGAGCUAACUCACCUAAGUGCAUAGAGGCUCGGUCUAACAGGCUGUACCUCCGCCCCCAGUCCAUGACUCCCUCACCGUGCCCAAGAAAAAUCACCUCACCAUGUCUAGCCAAUAAGAUAUCACCCAAUGUUCUCCACUAAUGUAUGGAUCUGCAUAACCUAUAAGAAAGUGCCAUGUAAUCAAAUGCUACUCCCAUGCUCUUCCCUCGUGGUUGUCUGCACGUAAGCUAUAUAAGCCUGUGCAUUUCCUAAGUAAAGUGGAAGCGUUCCAGAAACCUCCCCGGGAGUCUGCCUGGUGAUUCUGCACCUUACCCUCCCAGUCCAAGCUCCUGAACCAAACUCUGCAGACCAAACAGCGGACAACAAUAGGUAUGUGCUACCAUGCCUAGCUUUGCCCAUUUCUUUUCACUAAUUCUGGCCAGGCCAUUCCCAGAGCAUUCUAAAUUAAAUUAAAUUUAUAGGUCUCAGUAUAUUAUAUACCUAAAUAUACCAAUAAAAUUAAUAAAUUUAAAAAAUUUAUAGUUCUGAGGAUUUGAAUUAAGUUUUGUAUGAUCUUUUCUGGCUCUGGGACUGUAUGAUUCUCUCACUGAAUGAACAGGAGUGCUUACCAUGUACUGAGUGCCACAGACACAAAACUGAGUAAAAUCUAGCAAGAUUGAUAAAGUCCAGCAAGUGAUCACAGUGUAAUGUAAAGUUUAUAAAAAGUUACUGAGAUCCACUAUUCUGGAUAUUCAACUUCAUUACCAAUUAUACAACUUUUUUUUUCUUUUUUUUUGAGACCGGGUCUCACUAUGUAGUGAGACUG